UACGUAGGCAGCAAGCGUUGUUCGGAGUUACUGGGCGUAAAGAGUGUGUAGGUGGUCCUCUAAGUUUGGUGUGAAAUCUCCCGGCUCAACUGGGAGGGUGCGCCGAAAACUGGGGGGCUUGAGUGUGGGAGAGGAAAGCGGAAUUCCUGGUGUAGCGGUGAAAUGCGCAGAUAUCAGGAGGAACACCAGCGGCGAAGGCGGCGCUCUGGGCCGGAACUGACGCUGAGGAGCGAAAGCGUGGGUAGCAAACAGG
rnacentral:rRNA from 1 species